ACAUGCCCUAGGUCACCUUUUCCUGGUGCUUGUAUUCGUGUGGCUGCUCUCACAUUUUGGAGGAAAGUUUAUGAAGAAAGUUUAGUCGACUUUGUUGUUCUCUAUUGCUCGAUUCAGUUGAUUAAUCUCUACUAUCUUUGCGUUUUACAUUCAAUCCGGUGGCGAUCUGUAUCUAAAUCUCCUUCUUCUGUGUCAUAUUUUACGUUUGGGGAGGGAACUUUCAGUUGUGAAAUUUCAAAAUCAAAGUCGAAAUGUCUGACAACUUACCAUUCGAACUCCAAGAGGAAAUCAUGAAAAGGCUUCCUGUGAGAUCGUUGAUUCAAUUCCGGUCGGUAUCCAAAUCAUGGAAGUCUCUAAUCAGCAGCUCACGUUUUGUUGUUGAUUAUAGCGGCCAACAGCAACAUCUGUUUGUAAUGCAUGAAGAUGAUUCGGAUGAUUUUAAUCAGCAAUGUGUUUCAAUUGUUGAUGAUCAUACUUUCCCCCACCAGAGGGUUUCUGUGACUAUUCCCCCGUUGGUUAAGAAUCUCAAAGAUCCUAGCAUAGUGGGCGGCUCUCAUGGCUUGUUGUGUUUGUAUGAUUUUGAUCUCGAUGCAAAGGAAAUGGAAAUGGCUGUUCUUUGGAAUCCUUCGAUUAGGAAAGCAGUUGCUGUUGUUCUGCCUAAUAUGCCAGAUAAUAAGAUAUACCGAACCGUUUUAGGUUUUGGGGGUUUGUUGUCAGACUAAUGACCCUAAGAUAAUCAAGAUUAAUCAUAUAAAGCAGUGGAAGGAUGUGGGAAGUAUAAAUUGCAUCCCUUCACAAGUUGAGGUGUUCACAUUAAGCACAGGGGCAUGGAGAAGUUCAUAUAGCAGCAAUCUCCCUCGUAAAUCAAUUAUAUGGUUCCGUGAUCAGGUAGUUAUAGAUGGGAUUCAUUAUUGGCUUGCUACCGAUCGUACAAGUGAUGUUAGUCUUUAUGACCUGAUUAUAUCAUUUGAUAUCACAAACGAAGAGUUUAAAGAAGUAAUCCUCCCGGAUAGUUUAUCACGCAAUUUUGACCAGCAUGUCAUGUCUAAUCUAAAGAACUCUCUUGUUAUGCUUGAAUUCAAUCGAAGGCGAACGCUUUACAAUGUAUGGAUGAUGGAGGAUGGUGUUUCUAAAUCAUUUACAAAGCUAUUUACAAUUUGUCCACCAGAUGUAGAACAGAUUUAUGUACUGGAAUUUAGGAAGAGUGGUGAACCUGUAAUUCAAGUAAGACAACUUGGUGGAGCGCCGGAUGGUUUAUUAUCACUUGCUGUUUAUGAACCCGACUCAAAACACAUCAACGAUCUUGGGAUUGAUGGUUUUCAUGAGGUGAAAGCCUACACGGAAACACUACUUUUGCUUGAUAAGCCAAAUUUCUUUAUUUAUGAAAACACAACUCCUGCUUUUGAAGCAUAAACGCAAGGUAUAAACCUUUGGAAACGCUGAUUUCUGGUACUCUGUAUUUGGUAUGCCUUUCAAUCACUCCAUGUUUCAGGAGCUGAAUUUCAUUUCAUCAAGGUUGUAGUUUAAAUUCAGUCAACCGCAGGUCUAUAACUAGAAUUUGGGUAGUGUUUGGUAUGUAGGAUGAAAUGAUUAUGGCCGAAUAAAAGUAUUUGAAGGCUGAAUGUUGUAUGUUGUCAUCUGGUUAUGUUAUAACCUUUGCAUACAUUUAUUGCUUGUUCUUUUAUUGUUC